GAGUUUGAUCCUGGCUCAGAACGAACGCUGGCGGCAGGCCUAACACAUGCAAGUCGAGCGCAUCCUUCGGGAUGAGCGGCGGACGGGUUAGUAACGCGUGGGAAUCUACCCAGUAGUGGGGGACAACUUGGGGAAACUCAAGCUAAUACCGCAUACGCCCUACGGGGGAAAGCGGGGGACCUUCGGGCCUCACGCUACUGGAUGAGCCCAUGUCAGAUUAGAUAGUUGGUAGGGUAAUGGCCUACCAUGGCGACGAUCUCUAGCUGGUCUGAGAGGAUGAUCAGCCACACUGGGACUGAGACACGGCCCAGACUCCUACGGGAGGCAGCAGUGGGGAAUAUUGCACAAUGGGCGCAAGCCUGAUGCAGCCAUGCCGCGUGUGUGAAGAAGGCUUUCGGGUUGUAAAGCACUUUCAGUGGGGAGGAACAGGUAGCGGUUAAUAACCGUUACCCUUGACGUUACCCACAGAAGAAGCACCGGCUAACUCCGUGCCAGCAGCCGCGGUAAUACGGAGGGUGCGAGCGUUAAUCGGAAUUACUGGGCGUAAAGCGCGCGUAGGCGGCCUGAUAAGUUGGAUGUGAAAGCCCUGGGCUCAACCUAGGAACUGCAUUCAAAACUGUCAGGCUAGUGUAUGGUAGAGGAUAGUGGAAUUUCCGGUGUAGCGGUGAAAUGCGUAGAGAUCGGAACGAACAUCAGUGGCGAAGGCGGCUCUCUGGACCAAUACUGACGCUGAGGUGCGAAAGCGUGGGUAGCAAACGGGAUUAGAUACCCCGGUAGUCCACGCCGUAAACGAUGUCAACUAACUGUUGGGCGGGUUUCCGCUUAGUGGGGCAGCUAACGCAAUAUAAGUUCUCCGCCUGGGGAGUACGCCGGCAACGGUAAAACUCAAAGGAAUUGACGGGGGCCGGCACAAGCGGUGGAGCAUGUGGUUUAAUUCGAUGCAACGCGAAGAGCCUUACCUCCCCUUGACAUACAGAGAGCUUUCCAGAGAUGGAUUCGUGCCUUCGGGAACUCAGUGACAGGUGCUGCAUGGCUGUCGUCAGCUCGUGUCGUGAGAUGUUGGGUUAAGUCCCGCAACGAGCGCAACCCUUGUCCUUAGUUGCCAGCACGUAAUGGUGGGAACUCUAAGGAGACUGCCGGUGACAAACCGGAGGAAGGUGGGGACGACGUCAAGUCAUCAUGGCCCUUAUGGGCUGGGCUACACACGUGCUACAAUGGGCAGUACAGAGGGUCGCAAUCCCGCGAGGGGGAGCUAAUCCCACAAAGCUGUUCUUAGUCCGGAUUGGAGUCUGCAACUCGACUCCAUGAAGUUGGAAUCGCUAGUAAUCGUAGAUCAGCACUGCUACGGUGAAUACGUUCCCGGGCCUUGUACACACCGCCCGUCACACCAUGGGAGUGGGUUGCAAAAGAAGUAAGUAGCUUAACCUUCGGGAGGGCGCUUACCACUUUGUGAUUCAUGAGGGGGGUAAAGUCGUAACAAGGUAACC
rnacentral:rRNA from 1 species